AUGCUCUGCCAAGGUGUCAUAGCGUAUGCAUGGAUGGGAUCUGAGAGCCAGCAGAAAGAUGAGGAGCAAAAUAUAUGUUACUGGUGCCAUGGUGACAGAGAUGGCAGAUCAGAAGAUGGAGGCUUGAAAAUCUGCAGAGACAGGUUGCCUGCUUCAACCAAGGAAGCUCACAACUUGCCUCUUUCCUCCAUUGUAUUAAGUCAAUUCAGGUGUUAUAGGAGAGAGGAUGCUGGCAGUUACUUGUCUGGAGGGCACACACAUGGCACUGCCAUCCCCUGUGGUGCCAUUGAAGGAGACCUCCAGGGCUUCUGCUUUCUCCUGGAACCAACACCUCUCAGCAAAAUGCCUAACAGCAAAAUGAAGUUUCAUGUUUCAUGUUCGUUUUUUUAAAAAGCUGAUGUGCUAGGCUUCUUAGACUAGUCUUUUGGAUAAGUGAUAUAAAUAAAAAUGCUAAAGGAUGCCUGUCA
rnacentral:lncRNA from 1 species